GCCCAGCUAGCUCAGUUGGUAGAGCGCAAGACUCUUAAUCUCAGGGUCAUGGGUUCAGGCCUCACAUUGGGCA
rnacentral:tRNA from 1 species